UUUCCGUAGGUGAACCUGCGGAAGGAUCAUUGCACUCACGAUGCAGCAAACUAGCGAACUGUGUUUGUCCCCCACCUACCCCAAACACGAGGGGCCGCAUCUGGAGGUGCGGCUGUCGACGGCAAGGUCCCGACCUUCGGGUCCCCGCAGUGGUUCCCGCAAGCGGGCUGAUCAUGUCGCCGUCUGGGUGUCCCGCGCGGGCUCUCGCCUUGCCUUAGGGUUGGGCGACGCGUGCAUUCUCCACCCUUCGAUGGCGUCGUCACCUCCUCCGGGAGAGCGACACGCCUCGAGGGCCGUCUACAACUGUGCCCCAUGUACAGCACCAUUGACUGAGAAUACCUGUGUCCCGGUGCCGAUGCUGCCCUCGGGUGGUGAGAGAUUGGUCCUGAGGAACAAGAGUAAAUAAAAACAACUCUCAGCAACGGAUAUCUUGGCUCUU
rnacentral:misc_RNA from 1 species